rnacentral:rRNA from 1 species
AUUGAACGCUGGCGGCAUGCCUUACACAUGCAAGUCGAACGGCAGCACGGGAGCAAUCCUGGUGGCGAGUGGCGAACGGGUGAGUAAUGUAUCGGAACGUGCCCAGUCGUGGGGGAUAACGCAGCGAAAGCUGUGCUAAUACCGCAUACGAUCUAUGGAUGAAAGCGGGGGAUCGCAAGACCUCGCACGAUUGGAGCGGCCGAUAUCAGAUUAGCUAGUUGGUGGGGUAAAAGCUUACCAAGGCGACGAUCUGUAGCUGGUCUGAGAGGACGACCAGCCACGCUGGAGCUGAGACACGGUCCAGACUCCUACGGGAGGCAGCAGUGGGGAAUUUUGGACAAUGGGCGCAAGCCUGAUCCAGCAAUGCCGCGUGCAGGAUGAAGGCCUUCGGGUUGUAAACUGCUUUUGUACGGAGCGAAAAGGCUCUCUCUAAUACAGGGGGCUCAUGACGGUACCGUAAGAAUAAGCACCGGCUAACUACGUGCCAGCCGCCGCCGUAA